rnacentral:rRNA from 1 species
UACGAAGGGGGCUAGCGUUGCUCGGAAUCACUGGGCGUAAAGCGCACGUAGGCGGACUCUUAAGUCGGUGGUGAAAUCCUGGAGCUCAACUCCAGAACUGCCUUUGAUACUGGCGAUCUCGAGUCCGGGAGAGGUGAGUGGAACUGCGAGUGUAGAGGUGAAAUUCGUAGAUAUUCGCAAGAACACCAGUGGCGAAGGCGGCUCACUGGCCCGGUACUGACGCUGAGGCACGAAAGCGUGGGGAGCAAACAGG